rnacentral:rRNA from 1 species
UCCCAGUUCAGAUCGCAGUCUGCAACCCGACUGCGUGAAGUCGGAAUCGCUAGUAAUCGCGGAUCAGCAUGCCGCGGUGAAUACGUUCCCGGGCCUUGUACACACCGCCCGUCACACCAUGAGAGUCGGGAACACCCGAAGUCCGUAGCCUAACCGCAAGGGGGCGCGGCCGAAGGUGGGUUCGAUAAUUGGGGUGAAGUCGUAACAAGGUAUC